UACAAAGGUCCCAAGCGUUGUUCGGAUUCACUGGGCGUAAAGGGUGCGUAGGCGGUCGGGUAAGUCUGACGGGAAAUCCCGCAGCUCAACUGCGGAACUGCGUCGGAUACUAUUCGGCUAGAGGAAUGGAGGGGAGACUGGAAUACUUGGUGUAGCAGUGAAAUGCGUAGAUAUCAAGUGGAACACCAGUGGCGAAGGCGAGUCUCUGGACAUUUCCUGACGCUGAGGCACGAAAGCCAGGGGAGCAAACGGG
rnacentral:rRNA from 1 species